CAGCAGCCGCGGUAAUGCGGAGGGGGCUAGCGUUGUUCGGAAUUACUGGGCGUAAAGCGCACGUAGGCGGCUUGGUAAGUUAGAGGUGAAAGCCUGGAGCUCAACUCCAGAAUUGCCUUUAAGACUGCCGAGCUAGCAGGUGAGAGAGGUAAGUGGAAUUCCGAGUGUAGAGGUGAAAUUCGUAGAUAUUCGGAAGAACACCAGUGGCGAAGGCGGCUUACUGGCUCAUACUGGACGCUGAGGUGCGAAAGCGUGGGGAGCAAACAGGAUUAGAUACCCCCGUAGUCCCUGUCUCUUAUAC
rnacentral:rRNA from 1 species